rnacentral:lncRNA from 1 species
AUGUGGCUGCCCCCAGAGAACUGGUGAAGGAUGGCACAGGCAACUCAAGACUGUAUUUUCUACCCUUUUUGGUGCAUUUUCAGUAAUAUAAAGUUAAAACCAGAGAUCACAGGGAGAAGCUGUUUGGAAAUUUCCCCUUGUCUAGCACUGAGAGAGAGAAUCAUAGAAAGGGCACUCAUUGACAUCUAAUUAUCUAACAUCAAAGGUGCCCACUUCCUCAGGCUUUCCAACAUUUGAUUGAACUUAAGCUGGCCUUCAUUCAGCCUUUUUCAAGGCUGUUUGGCUAUGAGGGCCCAAGAACAGGCAAUGCAAGUCUGCCCUAUAUCUUGAUCUCUAUUAAUUUAAUCUAAUUGAUAUAACUGUAAUGUUGUGAGAUGCCUAGAUAUCUUUGAAUAAAAUGUAAAGACUAAAAUGUGUGAAGUAAACUGUUUUAUUUAUGCUGCUCACAUAGGUGAUCAAUAUAAUAGUGUGAUUGAAUGCUGAAUGAUUAGGCCUUUAGUUUUCAGUAAGUGGUAUUUAAAAAUAAAUCGACUCUUAGCUGUCUGAACUUCAGUUAGCAGAAACACCUGUGCAAAUCUGGGAUUCAGUUCUUUAAUUGAGCUUCAAGCUUUAUUAUAAGCACAAUUAAACUAAUUAUACAACCAGAUUAUCUAGACAUAAGAAACUUCUCCGUAACAUUCAUAUAAGAGGUUUUUGCAAUUUUGCAUUUCCUACUUUGUACACAUUAAUUUUCUAGGAGAGGCAUGCAAAUUUUAAUAUAUUUUAGAAAUAUUUUUAUAAUAUAUCUAAAAUAGCAAAUGAAAUACAGUGUCUCUUAGGUCUGUAGAAGACUAAGUGUUGCACUUAAAACUCUUUAAGUAUACAAAUAAUAAUGUACACAUUGGCAACUGCCAUAAUACAAUUUGUAGUAGCCCAUUUUGGCUGCUAUAACAAAAUUCCUUAAAAUGAGCAAAUUUAUAUUUAUAGAAUACAGCUAAAGCAGUGUUUAGAAGGAAAUUUAUAGCACUGAAUACCCACAGGAGAAAGAAGGAAAGAUCUAAAAUCAACACCCUAACACCACAAUUAAAGGAACUAGAGACACAAGAGCAAACAAAUUCAAAAGCCAGCAGAAGAUAAGAGAUAACUAAGAUCAAAGUAGAACUGAAGGAGAUAGAGACACAAAAAUCUCUUCAAAAAAAAUCAACAGGGGGAGAACUCAAGAUGGCGCUGUGAGAACAACCCAGGAUUGAAGCUCUCGCUGGACGCAUGGAGAGGGUGAGUCGGGGAAGCGUUUCCAGACGGAUCUUAGUUGCCCACAGAACGGGGAAAUUCCCAGGUAUAAAAGAGACAUGGGACGCCAGGCAGAGGUCUCUGCUGGCGUAGCUGGCAGCCGGUGCGGCUCCGGCCCGCGCCGGAGCGCAGAGGCGCUCCACAGUGCUCCAUACAAAAGCGCACUGUUAUGGGUGCCCUGUUGAACCGGCAAACUAAGACACGAGAAGGCUGAACUUGAGACUCAACGGGUCUUGAACUGUGACCCAGCCCAGGAAAUCCCAGGGACUCAGAGUUUGGUGGAGCGCAGUGUGACAAACAAAACGGCGAUUCCAAACGAUCCCAGUGAAUAGGUUUUUUUUUAAAGCGCAGCUCCGCAGGGGAGGGGCGUCAGCCAUUACUGAGGCAAUCAGCCCCUACUGAGGUACACGCCCAUUGCUGAGGCAGCCUGCCGCUGCUGAGGCAACCAGGUACAACAGAGAGACUCCGCCACAGGGCGUAGCCCGUG